UACGUAGGGAGCAAGCGUUGUCCGGAAUCAUUGGGCGUAAAGCGCGCGUAGGUGGCUUCGUAAGUCCGUUGUGAAAGUCAAAGGCUCAACCUUUGAAAGCCGAUGGAUACUGCGGAGCUAGAGUACGGAAGAGGCGAGUGGAAUUCCUGGUGUAGCGGUGGAAUGCGCAGAUAUCAGGAGGAACACCAAUAGCGAAGGCAGCUCGCUGGGACGGUAUUGACGCUAAGGCGCGAAAGCGUGGGGAGCAAACAGG
rnacentral:rRNA from 1 species